CGACGCGGCGGCGACGCCCCGGCCGCCAUCUUGGACACGGGCAAAAGGAAGGGCACCCGGGGCGUCGGGGAGGGAGCCUGGCGUCGGGGCCGGAGGGAGGCGCGUUGCCUCGGAUCACGCCGUGCAGAUGCUGUCAUCUGAACUUUCAGCAAAUCAUAAUCACCCAUCAUGGAUCUUCAUCACAAAUACAGCACUAAUGAAAAUGUUUGAAAUACCACGAGAAUUAUAAAAUCUGUCACGGAGAUACCCAGUGAGCAAAUGCUUUUGGAAGAAUACUGUCAAUAGACUUGCUUUGAAUGGUAUUCCUACAAACUUUCAAUCUGUAAAAACAGACAAAAAUGCAACAUCUGUGAAGUGCAAUAAAGCAUAGUAGAACAACGUGCCUGUAUCGAGAUACCCUCAGAAUGAAGUGGCAUCAGCACACACAAAAGAUCAAAUCUAAGAGUAACCUUUUAGUAUGGAUAUUUGGAAAAUAUCCAAGUUCAGCCAUGAACUAGCAUGUUCCUCCGAGGCCUGGAAUGUACCUGGGAAAACUGCGGUAUCAGCAGCCAAAUAUAGCGCUUGUUAACAGAAGGAUGGUCUGAAUGGAAUCUGGAAAGUGGGGAGCCCAAGAACAAAAACUGAAUUUAAGUUGCAAGCCUGACUUUGGGCAAAGGUGUGGGGGGGUAUAAUUUGUACUUCUCAUUGUGAACUAAUUAAUUAACAUACUGGAUUAUACAUCUGGCUCCUGUGAGUUUGCGUGAGCUGAGAAAAUUGAGUUUCAAAUCCAGGGCACUACUACCACUUCAUUCAUUUAUUUAUUUGUUUAGCAGAGAGGGUUGCCAUAUCCCUGGUAUUAAAUGGAGAAAUCCCAUAUUUUAGCUUCAGGACCUGUCACAUGCAAAUUAAAUGUAUGCAGACAUGAAAAUGUCUGCUUUUAAGUCAUAAUAAUCUAAGAUUUGCUUUAUAUGAAUUGCAAUUGGAUACCAAGUCAGCAGUGACUAGGGACACUUCAGUUUUAGAUGAUUACUCAGAUAUACUUAACGAGACACUGUGAUGCUCUAAAAAUGUCAUUAUUUUAUAAUAUGAAUGACUGUAACAUUUAAUUUUUCUGUAGGAACGCAUUUGAUACUACUAAUAAGUAGUUAUGAAAAUGUAAGAGGCCACAGCAGGGUCCAAAGAGUACAUCGCUAUGGCAUGAUUUUUUCCCCCACCACCAGUAACAGCACUUCUGCCCCCACUCCAAGCUUGAAUUGUUAAGGAGGGCAUUAAGUAAUCCCUUUACCUUUGGUAAAGGAAAAGGAUCCUUGAGGGCUUCCCUAAAAUAUGACAUUUAAUUAGGACUUGAAAAGAUACCUAAGAGUUAACUAGGCAGAAAGUAUGUGAGAAGAGUGUUCCAAGCCUAGGAAAACAAAGCUUAUAAAGAAAAAUUAAAAUAAUGAUAAUUCAUUAUAUGACUUGGCUACUAAUAGUGUUCAUAUAAUCAUAAUAAUGUUAAAAUUUGAAUGUUGAUCUAACCAACAUUAUAAUUUAACUUUAGUGAGAGGUUGGGGGUAAAGGCUUCAUAUAUAUGAUGAAGACAAAGAUCAAAAGGGGCAAAAUCUUCAUUGUUCAUCUAGGAAGUCAACACAUAAUGCAAACAGGGAAAACUUCAGAAGUGGGAAUGUAAUCAUGUUAAUUUAGAAAUAAAUACUGAAAGAAUCAACUGAAA